UGGGGAAUAUUGGACAAUGGGCGCAAGCCUGAUCCAGCCAUGCCGCGUGUGUGAAGAAGGCCUUUUGGUUGUAAAGCACUUUAAGCGAGGAGGAGGCUACCGAGAUUAAUACUCUUGGAUAGUGGACGUUACUCGCAGAAUAAGCACCGGCUAACUCUGUG
rnacentral:rRNA from 1 species